CCUACGGUAGGCAGCAGUGAGGAAUAUUGGUCAAUGGACGAGAGUCUGAACCAGCCAAGUAGCGUGAAGGAUGACUGCCCUAUGGGUUGUAAACUUCUUUUAUAUGGGAAUAAAAUGUUCCACGUGUGGGAUUGUUUAUUUACCAUAUGAAUAAGGAUCGGCUAACUCCGUGCCAGCAGCAGCGGUAAUACGGAGGAUCCGAGCGUUGUCCGGAUUUAUUGGGUUUAAAGGGAGCGUAGGUGGAUUGUUAAGUCAGUUGUGAAAGUUUUCGGCUCAACCGUAAAAUUGCAGUUGAAACUGGCAGUCUUGAGUACAGUAGAGGUGGGCGGAAUUCGUGGUGUAGCGGUGAAAUGCUUAGAUAUAACGAAGAACUCCGAUUGCGAAGGCAGUUCACUGGACUGCAACUGACACUGAGGCUCGAAAGUGUGGGUAUCAAACAGGAUUAGAUACCCGGGUAGUC
rnacentral:rRNA from 1 species